CCCUCUGGCACAAAUGGAAGAAGAAAGAAGGGAGCAAGUAGCUAAAAUUAAGAAGAUGGAGAUGGAGAUGGAGCAGGUGUUUGAGAUGAAGGUCAAAGAAAAAGUUCAAAAACUGAAGGACUCUGAAGCUGAGGAACUGAUUUCAUCUGAAAUUGAAGAGACAAUCAGAGAAAAACUAUAGACCACUCAUGAUGGUUGUUAUAUGUGCUUGGCUGGGCCAUGGGUCCCAGUGUUUGGUGAAACACAGCAGCAGAUGUCCCUCACACACAUGCCCUCUUGGUUCUGUUUCUUUGAAGAACCCCAGGAAAACACACAAAGGAAAAACAACUCGAUAGACAGAAGAUUCUUCAAUGACAACAAUGGAAGCCAUCUUCACCAUUCAACUAAACUUGAAUGGGAUAUUAUCAAACUUAAAAAAAAAUUAUCAACUGAUCGUGUAAUCAGUUUCAUCUUUUAAGACAGGAAAUGAAAUAAAGUAUUUACAGAUGAAUGUAAAAUGAACUUA
rnacentral:lncRNA from 1 species